rnacentral:lncRNA from 1 species
GGUGGUUAGAGCUAUAGGCAGUGAGCUGAGGCAGGAAUCAGAUGGCUUUACCCAUGGAGAUUUUUGUUGCUGGCUAAUUUGCUACAUAUUCUUAGAACUGGUUUGAUUAAGAAAAAAAGCUGUUGGUGUGGUGACUGGAAGUCUAACAACAAUCACCACAAUAGAUAUCUGCAGCCCUGAAACCAAUUUUCAGGCUUGAAUUUCUUUUACUUUUCUUCUUUCUUUCUUAUUGUGUGUCUCCAAGUCCUGAGUCUACUGGGGUUAUGUAGAAAAAAAGUUUUAAACAUUUUUUUGGGAAAUAAUUGCAAAGUUACAGCUAAAUUAUAAGAAAAAAAGAAGAGUUCUACACUUUGGGAGGCCGAGGCGGGUGGAUCAUGAGGUCAGGAGAUCGAGACCAUCCUGGCUAACAAGAUCUUACCUAUGUUCAAACUUUGAAGGGUAUUUUUAGAUCUAAGAGAUCUGGGUCUUUAAAGUCAGUCUUGGCCAGAAUCAGGCUGCAAAUGCCAAAGCAAGAGAUGUCAGCAAUGAGUUGCAGGUCUUUGCCAAACAGAGCAUCAUCUGGCAGUGAAAGGAGAGCAGAAGAGGGGAUUUUGAAGUGUGGACCGACCAUGGACUGAUGGAAAAAGGAACCACGAGGAGCUCCAACAAUGGGAAUGUGGUUGCCUCUUCCUAGUGCAACACCUGGGUUCUGGAGUGGUGCAUGCCAGGUAUUUGGCAUGAAGGUGGAACAAGCAAGGAUGGUGCUGGUGUUUGUAGCCACAACCAAUGUGGUGUGAGCAG